UACGUUGCAGCUUGAUUUCACUUCCAGAGAGACGCGUACGUGUUGUACUCCAUCAGCUCUAGCUUUUUUUCGUGCCAAGUAUCAGUAUACUGUCUUUUUACUGAGCUUACAGAAAGCGAAUUGAUAGAAUAACGUCGCACCGCAGAUUUUGAGGUGUAUUUUUUGUGAACGGCGUCAGAAGAGGACAGUUUUAAACUAGCUUCAAAGAACCGUGAGUCAGCACGUCCGACCCCGCUGCUUCCCUCAGCUUCGGACUCUCUCUCAUUUGUGACUUUUUUCUGAGUGAAAUGUGCGUUGAGGCGAUGGAUACCAGACCAAAAAGCCUGAAGACCGGUUGCCUACGCAAAACCAUGAAACCCGGGUCCAAAUCAUGGUCUAAGCUGAGAUGGAGAAACCUUGGUGUGACUUUUGUGGAAGAGGAGGAGGCCUUGAAACAGGGGCGUCCCAAAACGAUGAGCGCCAUCAUGAGAAAGUACCUUCGCCGUGAGCAGAGGAGGAUCCAGUUGGCUAAAGUAGUCGACCGAGAGGAGGCCAGGUAUGAGGCGGCGGAAAGCCUCGCCAUGGCGGUCAGACCCCGUCAUUCCCCGGGGGCAAUGGCGCCGGCCAACACCACGCAGUACCUGAUGGCUAAAGUUUACGAAGACAUGCGUGACGAAGACGGAAACCACCGCAACGCGCUUUCUGUUUCAUCUGCGUCAUGUGCUGAUUUGUACGGAGAGUCCCUUUCACCCCCUAGUGUGUAUGUCGCAUUGGAUUGCGGGUACGAAAGCUGCCUGGCCUUUCAGCAGAGAGACUUUGAGGAGUUGUUUGGCCUGGGUGUGUGACACUACCGCUCACCGGGACUGGUCUGGUCUGGUCUGGUCUACGUGGCCUUGUGAAACUGGUCUGGCCUGCUCAGCUGUGCCACGCAGCGGCUCCAGGCUUAAGACAAAAGCAACGCUUCGUGCGCUGCCCCUGCCCAGUAGGGGGCGCUCCCGAGUCCGCCGCCUGCCCAGGGGAAACGAACCAAACGCACCUCUGCCCUGCCUGGCCACCGGUUAGGUAACCCAGGUAACCGUGUCUCAACAGGAGACUGGGGCAGGUAUUAUUGUGCUGCACUACAUUGUGUCAUUGAAGAUGUGCAUGUCACAGUGUUGUGAUGGUUUACAGGUUGUCAGCAGGGAGUGCUGAUCAUGUUGGGGUUGAGAACUCCUUGCCACAGUCACUGUUGUCUGAGCCUUUUGCAGGUCACCACGGCUCGGCUGCUGUGACGCUCACAGGAGCAACAGACCAAGGAGGUCGGCCCUCAAAGCACUGACUGGAGGACACUGUUGCCGCUGGUAACUCAUAAUGUCUCAGAGGAUAAUAUUGGACCUAAAACGCAUAGCAAGUUGAAGAAUAUAUAGAAUAUAAUGUGUGUAAUGCUGAGUGAGAAUUGUGAAGGUAUAUUUUUUGAUGAUAAUUCUUUAAUAAAGGUGCUUUAUUUGGA